rnacentral:rRNA from 1 species
GAUGAACGCUGGCGGCGUGCUUAAUACAUGCAAGUCGAGCGAAGCACUUUAACGGAAUUCUUCGGAAGGAAGGUAAAGUGACUGAGCGGCGGACGGGUGAGUAACGCGUGGGUAACCUGCCUUAUACAGGGGGAUAACAGUUAGAAAUGACUGCUAAUACCGCAUAAGCGCACAGUGUUGCAUGGCACAGUGUGAAAAACUCCGGUGGUAUGAGAUGGACCCGCGUCUGAUUAGCUAGUUGGUGGGGUAACGGCCUACCAAGGCGACGAUACAUAGCCGACCUGAGAGGGUGAUCGGCCACACUGGGACUGAGACACGGCCCAG